UACGAAGGGGGCUAGCGUUGUUCGGGAUUACUGGGCGUAAAGCGCACGUAGGCGGAUCUUUAAGUCAGGGGUGAAAUCCCAAGGCUCAACCUUGGAACUGCCUUUGAUACUGGGGAUCUCGAGUCCGGAAGAGGUUGGUGGAACUGCGAGUGUAGAGGUGAAAUUCGUAGAUAUUCGCAAGAACACCAGUGGCGAAGGCGGCCAACUGGUCCGGUACUGACGCUGAGGUGCGAAAGCGUGGGGAGCAAACAGG
rnacentral:rRNA from 1 species